GACGAACGCUGGCGGCGUGCUUAACACAUGCAAGUCGAACGGAAAGGCCCUGCUUUUGUGGGGUGCUCGAGUGGCGAACGGGUGAGUAACACGUGAGUAACCUGCCCUUGACUUUGGGAUAACUUCAGGAAACUGGGGCUAAUACCGGAUAGGAGCUCCUGCUGCAUGGUGGGGGUUGGAAAGUUUCGGCGGUUGGGGAUGGACUCGCGGCUUAUCAGCUUGUUGGUGGGGUAGUGGCUUACCAAGGCUUUGACGGGUAGCCGGCCUGAGAGGGUGACCGGCCACAUUAGGACUGAGGUACGGACCAGACUCCUACGGGAGGCAGCAGUGGGGAAUAUUGCACAAUGGGCGGAAGCCUGAUGCAGCAACGCCGCGUGCGGGAUGACGGCCUUCGGGUUGUAAACCGCUUUCGCCUGUGACGAAGCGUGAGUGACGGUAAUGGGUAAAGAAGCACCGGCUAACUACGUG
rnacentral:rRNA from 1 species